AUUGAACGCUGGCGGAAUGCUUUACACAUGCAAGUCGAACGGCAGCACGGACUUCGGUCUGGUGGCGAGUGGCGAACGGGUGAGUAAUGUAUCGGAACGUGCCCAGUCGUGGGGGAUAACGUAGUGAGAAUUACGCUAAUACCGCAUACGAUCUAUGGAUGAAAGCGGGGGAUCGCAAGACCUCGCGCGAUUGGAGCGGCCGAUAUCAGAUUAGGUAGUUGGUGGGGUAAAGGCCCACCAAGCCAACGAUCUGUAGCUGGUCUGAGAGGACGACCAGUCACACUGGAACUGAGACACGGUCCAGACUCCUACGGGAGGCAGCAGUGGGGAAUUUUGGACAAUGGGCGAAAGCCUGAUCCAGCCAUUCCGCGUGCAGGAUGAAGGCCCUCGGGUUGUAAACUGCUUUUGUACAGAACGAAAAGGUUUCUACUAAUACUAGGAGCUCAUGACGGUACUGUAAGAAUAAGCACCGGCUAACUACGUGCCAGCAGCCGCAGUAA
rnacentral:rRNA from 1 species